rnacentral:lncRNA from 1 species
CAGGGAAGUCCAGGAUGCUUGUGAAUAGCUAGUGUGGAGUGGAGAUAAAGGUCAAAUGGAAUUGAGGAGAGUAAAGGAUUCUGAGCAUGUAAUAGUAAGUAUUCUUGUCUGUAACAAUGGGCAUUGAACUAAGGAGAUAUGUGCUGUGCAGUGAGGAGAUGACACAUUAUAUUAAAAACCAAUAAACAUGUAGCAGUUAAAAGUUCACUUAUGUUCUUACUGUUUAAGAUCCUGAUGAACUAGGGCAUCUCUUUAAGUAGAGAAAUUCUGAUUCUGAAACCCUAACUCAAUUUAUCUUUGUUUAUCUUCGGUUUCUUCAGCCUGAUCUACUGUGGCCAUGAAGAUCAAUUUCCUUCUUUUAGCUCUUUUUUUCUUUGUCUUAAUACUUUUCUCAGCCUCUCUAAAACUCACUUCCUACGUGGUUUGCAAACCUUUUACUAAAAACUGCACUGCUGUUAAUGGAACAAGCUGUAUCAGUGGUGAAAAGACCUGCAUCUUACAUCUUAGAAGAUGCUGUAAGGCUAAGAAAUAAAAGGCCAGCUCUUGGGAAAUGAAGAAAUUCAGAAGUGAUGGAGACGAAGUCAUCAACUGUUUUGUCUUAUUCCGAGCUAUUGAGCACUACACUGAACUGUUGAACAUCAUGAACAAAGUUAAAGCUCUCAAAAUAUUUGAAAAUGAACACCCUUUUCAUCAGCUGCUGUUUGAAACUUAUUAUCACUUAGCAGUAGCUUAUCAAAGCUUGAAUCUCCACAAGAAAACAAUAGAACAAUUAACACUUGCAGCAGAGAUUGCAGCUGUACCUAAGGUAAAACUGAUGUCAUUUAUAGCAUGUUUAUAUUUUCCAUAAAAAUAAAAGU